UAAUACAUACUGUGCGAACGUUAUUCGGAUUCACUGGGCUUAAAGGGUGCGUAGGCGGCUUGUUAAGUAGGGUGUGAAAGCCCCCAGCUCAACUGGGGAACUGCACUCUAUACUGGCGAGCUGGAGUGAGAUAGGGGUGUGUGGAACUGCCAGUGGAGCGGUGAAAUGUGUUGAUAUUGGCAGGAACGCCGGUGGCGAAAGCGACACACUGGGUCUCAACUGACGCUGAGGCACGAAAGCCAGGGGAGCGAACGGGAUUAGAUACCCCGGUAGUCCUGGCCGUAAACGCUGAGUACUCGUUUGGAGCGACUGCGGUCGCUCCAAACUUAGAGAAAUCGUUAAGUACUCCGCCUGGGGAGUAUGGUCGCAAGGCUG
rnacentral:rRNA from 1 species